rnacentral:rRNA from 1 species
CGGGAGGCAGCAGUGGGGAAUAUUGCACAAUGGGCGCAAGCCUGAUGCAGCCAUGCCGCGUGUAUGAAGAAGGCCUUCGGGUUGUAAAGUACUUUCAGCGGGGAGGAAGGGAGUAAAGUUAAUACCUUUGCUCAUUGACUUACCCGCAGAA